rnacentral:rRNA from 1 species
CCUACGGGAGGCAGCAGUGGGGAAUCUUGCGCAAUGGGCGAAAGCCUGACGCAGCCAUGCCGCGUGAAUGAUGAAGGUCUUAGGAUUGUAAAAUUCUUUCACCGGGGACGAUAAUGACGGUACCCGGAGA